AUGAAAUAUUUUCAACCUGUCCUCACUCCCACUAUCUUGAUUGGGAAUUCACUCUAUUGGUCAUAUGUUCUUGGCGGAGCUUGCAUAAUUGAGUUUGAUUUGGACACGCAGAGGCUGGCAUUGAUAGAGCCGCCGCCAGAUGCAUAUGCCCACGACGAUACCGUUUUCGCGGUUAUGCCGGCUGAAGAUGGUGGCCUUGGCUUAAUCGUUGUGUCGCGCUUCCGUGCCCAACUAUGGAAGUGGAAAGCUGGUGUUCGUCACGAUGAUGUGACAUGGGUUCUGGGAAGGAUCGUUGAACUAGACAAGCUUCUUCCUCUAGGAGCAGCAGGCAAGAGGAAGCCUCUAGCCUUAGUGGGAUUCGACGAGGAAAACAAUGUGACCCUUGUAAGGACAUCUUGUGGCAUCUUCAUGGUCCAUCUCCAGUCAAUGACGUUCAAGAGACUCUGCAACAGUGGCAGUGCCAGGGAUAUCCAUAUCUAUAAUGCAUUCCCAAGUUUCUAUGAUGCAGAUAAUUUUCUUUAA
rnacentral:rRNA from 1 species